rnacentral:rRNA from 1 species
UACGGAGGGUGCAAGCGUUAUCCGGAUUCACUGGGUUUAAAGGGUGCGUAGGUGGGUCUGAAAGUCAGUGGUGAAAUCUCCGGGCUUAACCUGGAAACUGCCAUUGAUACUUCAGGUCUUGAAUUUUCUGGAGGUUAGCGGAAUAUGCCAUGUAGCGGUGAAAUGCUUAGAUAUGACAUAGAACACCAAUUGCGAAGGCAGCUCACUACACGGUCAUUGACUCUGAGGCACGAAAGCGUGGGGAUCAAACAGG